GACCUCCCAAUUCUUACCACAGGCUGUGUCCUUUACACUGAAUGUAUAGAAAGUGGAGAUACAGUAAAUACACCCCAUGUACAGAUCAACACAGGCCCUUUGCCUGGUCUGUAUUGUGAAUUGGGGGACAAAA